UACGUAGGGGGCAAGCGUUGUCCGGAAUCAUUGGGCGUAAAGAGCGUGUAGGCGGCCAGACAAGUCUGCUGUGAAAACUCGAGGCUCAACCUCGAGCUGUCGGUGGAAACUGUCUGGCUAGAGUCCGGAAGAGGAGAGUGGAAUUCCUGGUGUAGCGGUGAAAUGCGCAGAUAUCAGGAAGAACACCUAUGGCGAAGGCAGCUCUCUGGGACGGUACUGACGCUGAGACGCGAAA
rnacentral:rRNA from 1 species